rnacentral:rRNA from 1 species
AUUGAACGCUGGCGGCAGGCUUAACACAUGCAAGUCGAGCGGAGAGAGGUAGCUUGCUACUGAUCUUAGCGGCGGACGGGUGAGUAAUACUUAGGAAUCUGCCUAUUAGUGGGGGACAACAUUUCGAAAGGAAUGCUAAUACCGCAUACGUCCUACGGGAGAAAGCAGGGGAUCUUCGGACCUUGCGCUAAUAGAUGAGCCUAAGUCGGAUUAGCUAGUUGGUGGGGUAAAGGCCUACCAGGGCGACGAUCUGUAGCGGGUCUGAGAGGAUGAUCCGCCACACUGGGACUGAGACACGGCCCAGACUCCUACGGGAGGCAGCAGUGGGGAAUAUUGGACAAUGGGCGGAAGCCUGAUCCAGCCAUGCCGCAUGUGUGAAGAAGGCCUUAUGGUUGUAAAGCACUUUAAGCGAGGAGGAGGCUACUUUAGUUAAUACCUAGAGAUAGUGGACGUUACUCGCAGAAUAAGCACCGGCUAACUCUGUGCCAGCCGCCGCAGUAAAAC